UGUGAGCUCGAUGAGUAGGGCGGGACACGUGGUAUCCUGUCUGAAUAUGGGGGGACCAUCCUCCAAGGCUAAAUACUCCUGACUGACCGAUAGUGAACCAGUACCGUGAGGGAAAGGCGAAAAGAACCCCGGCGAGGGGAGUGAAAAAGAACCUGAAACCGUGUACGUACAAGCAGUGGGAGCCUCUUAAUGGGGUGACUGCGUACCUUUUGUAUAAUGGGUCAGCGACUUAUAUUCUGUAGCAAGGUUAACCGAAUAGGGGAGCCGAAGGGAAACCGAGUCUUAACUGGGCGUUAAGUUGCAGGGUAUAGACCCGAAACCCGGUGAUCUAGCCAUGGGCAGGUUGAAGGUUGGGUAACACUAACUGGAGGACCGAACCGACUAAUGUUGAAAAAUUAGCGGAUGACUUGUGGCUGGGGGUGAAAGGCCAAUCAAACCGGGAGAUAGCUGGUUCUCCCCGAAAGCUAUUUAGGUAGCGCCUCGUGAAUUCAUCUCCGGGGGUAGAGCACUGUUUCGGCAAGGGGGUCAUCCCGACUUACCAACCCGAUGCAAACUGCGAAUACCGGAGAAUGUUAUCACGGGAGACACACGGCGGGUGCUAACGUCCGUCGUGAAGAGGGAAACAACCCAGACCGCCAGCUAAGGUCCCAAAGUCAUGGUUAAGUGGGAAACGAUGUGGGAAGGCCCAGACAGCCAGGAUGUUGGCUUAGAAGCAGCCAUCAUUUAAAGAAAGCGUAAUAGCUCACUGGUCGAGUCGGCCUGCGCGGAAGAUGUAACGGGGCUAAACCAUGCACCGAAGCUGCGGCAGCGACACUAUGUGUUGUUGGGUAGGGGAGCGUUCUGUAAGCCUGUGAAGGUGGCCUGUGAGGGUUGCUGGAGGUAUCAGAAGUGCGAAUGCUGACAUAAGUAACGAUAAAGCGGGUGAAAAGCCCGCUCGCCGGAAGACCAAGGGUUCCUGUCCAACGUUAAUCGGGGCAGGGUGAGUCGACCCCUAAGGCGAGGCCGAAAGGCGUAGUCGAUGGGAAACAGGUUAAUAUUCCUGUACUUGGUGUUACUGCGAAGGGGGGACGGAGAAGGCUAUGUUGGCCGGGCGACGGUUGUCCCGGUUUAAGCGUGUAGGCUGGUUUUCCAGGCAAAUCCGGAAAAUCAAGGCUGAGGCGUGAUGACGAGGCACUACGGUGCUGAAGCGACAAAUGCCCUGCUUCCAGGAAAAGCCUCUAAGCAUCAGGUAACAUCAAAUCGUACCCCAAACCGACACAGGUGGUCAGGUAGAGAAUACCAAGGCGCUUGAGAGAACUCGGGUGAAGGAACUAGGCAAAAUGGUGCCGUAACUUCGGGAGAAGGCACGCUGAUAUGUAGGUGAAGCGACUUGCUCGUGGAGCUGAAAUCAGUCGAAGAUACCAGCUGGCUGCAACUGUUUAUUAAAAACACAGCACUGUGCAAACACGAAAGUGGACGUAUACGGUGUGACGCCUGCCCGGUGCCGGAAGGUUAAUUGAUGGGGUUAGCGGUAACGCGAAGCUCUUGAUCGAAGCCCCGGUAAACGGCGGCCGUAACUAUAACGGUCCUAAGGUAGCGAAAUUCCUUGUCGGGUAAGUUCCGACCUGCACGAAUGGCGUAAUGAUGGCCAGGCUGUCUCCACCCGAGACUCAGUGAAAUUGAACUCGCUGUGAAGAUGCAGUGUACCCGCGGCAAGACGGAAAGACCCCGUGAACCUUUACUAUAGCUUGACACUGAACAUUGAGCCUUGAUGUGUAGGAUAGGUGGGAGGCUUUGAAGUGUGGACGCCAGUCUGCAUGGAGCCGACCUUGAAAUACCACCCUUUAAUGUUUGAUGUUCUAACGUGGGCCCCUUACCGGGGUUGCGGACAGUGUCUGGUGGGUAGUUUGACUGGGGCGGUCUCCUCCUAAAGAGUAACGGAGGAGCACGAAGGUUGGCUAAUCCUGGUCGGACAUCAGGAGGUUAGUGCAAUGGCAUAAGCCAGCUUGACUGCGAGCGUGACGGCGCGAGCAGGUGCGAAAGCAGGUCAUAGUGAUCCGGUGGUUCUGAAUGGAAGGGCCAUCGCUCAACGGAUAAAAGGUACUCCGGGGAUAACAGGCUGAUACCGCCCAAGAGUUCAUAUCGACGGCGGUGUUUGGCACCUCGAUGUCGGCUCAUCACAUCCUGGGGCUGAAGUAGGUCCCAAGGGUAUGGCUGUUCGCCAUUUAAAGUGGUACGCGAGCUGGGUUUAGAACGUCGUGAGACAGUUCGGUCCCUAUCUGCCGUGGGCGCUGGAGAACUGAGGGGGGCUGCUCCUAGUACGAGAGGACCGGAGUGGACGCAUCACUGGUGUUCGGGUUGUCAUGCCAAUGGCACUGCCCGGUAGCUAAAUGCGGAAGAGAUAAGUGCUGAAAGCAUCUAAGCACGAAACUUGCCCCGAGAUGAGUUCUCCCUGACUCCUUGAGAGUCCUGAAGGAACGUUGAAGACGACGACGUUGAUAGGCCGGGUGUGUAAGCGCAGCGAUGCGUUGAGCUAACCGGUACUAAUGAACCGUGAGGCUUAACCUUACAACGCCGAAG
rnacentral:rRNA from 1 species